AAAUUUAUUACUUCCAUUACAUCAUAUACCAAGAAACGGUUAACCAGAUUGUGGGAAAUAAAAAAAAGUAAAUUGUAACUGGAGUUAGAAAAGGCUGUAAGAUCGAAAUUCUUCUAAAAUUGAAAGAACAAGUUGAAAAAUAUCAUAUCGGUAGCUGAUCCUAAUCCAAAGACCACGGUAGAGAUGAGAAACCUUGAUUCCCUUAAAACAAAACAAGAAAUCAUGGAUGCAAUAGGGAGCGCCCUUGAAAAAUCAGUGCCUAAUCCUAAAAUUAACAUCUUCCCCCGAACACUAGGGAGCAGGCCAAAGCGUAGGUAAACUUUUCAAGGCCAAGCCAAAUUGGACAAUAAUUUGAGGAGAGAUUGAUUUAAAAUCUAUUCAAUGGGGGAUUAAUUCUCUGCCCAGACCUCUGGAACGUCAGUUACGACCUUAUACUAGUCUCAAAAGGCCUGACGAUACUAACCCAGUUGAAUUAAUAAGUGCACAAAUGUGGUUGGACGCGCUUGGUAUUGAUAUCCACUUUCCACUAAAUAAAACCAAGCUGGUAUUGUUAACAAAGAAACAUACUUCUAUUAUAACACACAUGGAGACAACAACAAAAAGUCUAAGAGUACAGAAGGUUGUCAAUUUUCUGGGUGUAAGAUUAGGCUCCAGCUUUCUAACUUUGGUUGGAUGGCUGAUGGUCAACUUCGCAGGGCUGACACAGGAAAAACGGGAGCUUUUGAUGUGGACCUCAUAAUAACCGAACAUUUUCUACUCUUGCAGUUUUCCAGGAUCAAAGCAGGCGAAAAACUAAAAGAUCUGUCAAUAGCAAAUUCAAAGAUUCAGGUGAUUUACGGAAGGCUUGCACGGAAUAAACAGAAUUCAAUUUAUACUGUAAUUUUGAUUAUUUUGACAUAUCUAUCUAUGCUAACUACCUCGAUUACACCACAUCAAAAAGAUGCGCUAAGUCGGCAGUCUCAACAGAAGGUAAUAACGGAUAUGGCGCAAUCCAUUUGUAUUCAUGUUAAGGCGAGGACGGGGAACAAAUAGCCCUCAACAGUGCCGAAAUUAUCGAUAAUUUGGAAUUUUCGUAAGUACGACUUACGUAUAGUCGCGACAACAUACACAAAAUCAUAAUAAUUGCAAUGAAAUAACUUGUAUAAUAAAAUUUUGAUAAGCCAUUAUAAUUAAUGUUUAUACUUCACUUCUCGAUAAUUUUUCGAAAUCCAUAUGUAUCAUGUAAUACACAAUAAAUUGAAGCUUUCUUUA